rnacentral:misc_RNA from 1 species
AAGUCGUCACAAGGUUUCCGUAAGUGAACCUGCGAACACGUAUCCAACGUUAAACAACCCUGUGAACCUUCAUACGCGAGCUCUCCAACUGGCCUUGUCAAGCAAUUCCUGGUAAAUCACGCAAUCAGUUUGAUUCAGAAAAAUCUUGAUGCUUGUGACUCUUGGAUUUGAUGUUCGUAACGAAAAACCUAACCACAGUUAACAAUGGAUAUCUUGGUUCUC